rnacentral:tRNA from 1 species
CUGUAGCCAAGCGGUAAGGCAUCUGGCUCUGAACCAGACAUGCGCUGGUUCGAAUCCAGCCA